AUUGAACGCUGGCGGCAGGCCUAACACAUGCAAGUCGAACGAGUGGCGGACGGGUGAGUAAUGUCUGUGAAACUGCCUGAUGGAGGGGGAUCACUACUGGACACGGUAGCUAAUACCGCAUACCAUCAGAUGUGCCCAGAUGGGAUUAGCUUGUUGGUGGGGUAACGGCUCACCAAGGCGACGAUCCCUAGCUGGUCUGAGAGGAUGACCAGCCACACUGGAAAUGAGACACGGUCCAGACUCCUACGGGAGGCAGCAGUGGGGAAUAUUGCACAAUGGGCGAAAGCCUGAUGCAGCCAUGCCGCGUGUGUGAAGAAGGGCUUCGGAUUGUAAAGCACUUUCAGCGGGGAGGCGUUACCCACAGAGAAAGCACCGGCUAACUCCGUGCCAGCAGCCGCGGUAAUAC
rnacentral:rRNA from 1 species